CCCCCAAAAAGAAAAAAAAGUACUUAGCAUCACCCAAAACUUUACUUUUUAUUUUAUUUUAUGGAACGAAGAAAUAUUACUGAAAGUCCAAGCUUGUUGUAGGGUAUACUACAUGUUAAUAUUAAUAUUAAUAUUCAGGACAGCAGCUUGGACAUUCUGCAAAUGUUUGUACUGCUUUCAAUUACAUAGACGAUGUCAACUUUCAUUUCAGUCCAAAGUGUUCUUUUAAACAACUGACUAUACAGGUUGCAAUUGUCUUCCCCAUUCUUUCUCUCUGUCUAAAGGUGCAGAUGUCUUUGUAGGUCUGCUCUUGUUAAAGGGAGGUGUAGACUGCAGAGAUUAGUUUAGUAUAGUUGACCGUUGUGAGGUUCUGCACUGCUGUGCUCUUACCUUCAAGAAUGUCUAUCAUUUCAACAAUGUUGGCACUUUUAUAUCAAGAGGCGCUCCAUUCCCAGACCACGAGAGUUUCAAAAGCCGCGGAACAAAAAGAGGACCGCGAGAACUUUGUCCACUCAGUCAAUCAGACGGACACCCCGCUGAGUCCAAACGCAGAGAUGUUGUUUUCUCUGUAGCCUUCAAACAAGUGUCUUUUCCCUUUACCAGUGUAAAUAAACCCGCGCGCUGUUUGCUUGUGUCAUUACUGGACUUGAUAUUUUGCCUGUGGUCCUGAUCAGUGUGGGACCCAAAGUGAACUUCAAAGCGAUGGGCAAAACCUAGAUAGUGUGUGCAGCUGCUCGGUGUGUAUGUGUGUGUGUUGCGAUGUGGGGGUGCCGGGGUCUGUUUGAGGAACAGACAGCGCUCAGCUGUCCAGCUUAAUAAAGCUACAGGGGAACAGGGGGGUUUAAACCGAGAGACAAGCGCAGACGCACUAUAUCAAAGCCAUAGACACUUGCUAAUAAAACGCAAUGUUGCCAAAACUCCUCCUGCUCGUAUUUAUCUCGCUCGGUGCAGCCUCGGUGUAAUUCAUUAUAUGUAUCACGUAGCUUUCACCUUAUUUUGGCCCCCUGAGCAUACCGCAAACUCAUAAACACUCGUAACUCCAGGGUAUUGCUGUCCAACCCCUUUGUGUGGUUAUGGAAUUGAGUUUCAAGAAAAAAAUCUGCUCUGUAAUACCAUUACUGCCCUCUAGAGUGCGUUUGAGAGCAACAUAGAGUCUGAAGUCUAGUCCUUCAAGUACAUUGCCAUAAGUGAAUGAAUACAAUAUAGUGUCAAAAAUACAAUAAACAAUGAAAGAAAAAUGUUAGUGGAACGUUAAUUACAAACAUUCAGACCAAGUGUUUUCAUAACUUAAUGUAAAUGUUUAAAACAUGUUCUUAGUACAUAUUUUUGUUAGCUGGGCUAUCAGCGUGCCGAAAGACUUUUUUUUACUUGAUUUAUGAUCCACCAGAAAGCUAUCACACUCCUGUUCAACAACCUCCACAGUUCAUGCAGCACAAACAAGGCAGGACAAGUUACUGUACAUGCCAAAGAAGGAUUAUGGGUUUAAAAUAACAUGUUUAGUAUAACACCUAUUUAAAGAUGAUAUCUGAAUAGUUUCCCAGUGGUUUGUUUCGAGCACACAGAUCACACAGUGUAAAACGCAACCACAUGGAAGAUGUAUUGCAGGUUAAAGCUCUGAGUUAGAUUGAUCUGGCAAAGGGCAUUACUUGUCUGUUCUAAUCACAUUAGCCGGCCAUUACUCAUGUGUCCAUUAAUUCAUUACUUCAUUUGUCUCCAUGAAUAUUUAACAAUGUCUUGACAUCUUUAUGGACUGCUUGUUCUGCCGUGCGAUUAAAAAAGAGCGCUGUCCCUCAAUAGCCACAUGCUCGCUAUCAAGCGAUAAUUCGCCUCUUGAAUUUAUGGGUGCGUGAAGUAACGUGGGCCUAAUUCAUUGUGGGUGUCCAACAUCCAGAUUUCACAUAAAAAUGUGAUUCCACAAUAUUCCAGUUGGUUAAGAGGGCAUUUUCUGAUUGAGAAGAAUAAUGCCAUUUUCUUUGUGCUGUCGACAGGAUGCAAAGGUGAUGAUGUAGCACUGUCCUUGUCUGACACAUUUGAUUGGUUUUAACACCACCUACUUUGCAAAAAUAAUCAGACAGCCUCUACGACCAUCAUCUGUUCUGCUAUAUACUUACUAUACAGGAGGCUGGCCGGCUAACUAGCUUUGCAGAACCACAAAGCCAUAAACACUCACCAGGGUAGCAAAAACCAUAGGACGCAACAACAUGGCGACUAUAUUCACAGACCUCUGGCCGUUUUUUUGUGGGCUGCAAAGAAGGGCAUUUAACCAUCUGAGGUUAAGUUUGCUUGAAUGGCUUCACAUGGUCUUAUUUUGGUUUGCAGUGUCUUCUACCACAGCUAAGGGUUUGCAGGUUAGGGAGAGACUAACAGCAUGUUAAAAUAUGCCGUCGCUGUCGGGCGGAAACCUCCUAUGUCCAAAUUUGGUCAAUUUCAUAUUUUUUCACAAAUCGAUGCUAUUGGUCAGUCCCCAUGUGGAUCUGUUAUUUUUACAAAUUAUUAACCAAUCUAAAGUGUUGAAAAUAGCUUGAGAGCAAAUCUCUUAACUCCAUUGGACACUUCAACUGUCUGAGAAGUCUCGUAACUCCACCUCUUCUUCACUCCGCGGGAGCUUCUCGGCAUUACGUCUCCUGAUUGAAAGUUUUUUAGACAAUAACGAGUGAAAAUAGUUAGGUUAGAUACAUUUGAGUAGGUCUGUUUUGUUAAAAAUCCAUUCUUAUCAAUGACAGCGUAAUCUCGUAUCUCCCUGCUCCCAAGUUAUAAACCUUGUAUCUCCGAUUAAACAUGGUUUUGGGGAAAUGUGUUAAUGUUGGUACACAACAGUAUAUGAUAGCAAUAUAAGGUAUAAUACCAACUUUAACGAUACAAUGUUUAAUAACUCAAAAAAUAUGCAGUUUUUUUAACUUCCUGAAAAAUAAUGGUUUUGGAGAUACGAGGAUUCUGCCCGACAGCGACGAUGUCCUUGCCAGAUCCUGGGAUUAUGACACAACUCUGCAGAAAAAUACUUGUUUUGGAUUCUGGUGUCCAUGGUUAACUAGCACAGCAACUGUAGCCAGACUUGGUCUAUCCGAUAGCUAGUGAACUGAUGCUAAACCAGCACCAGACCAACAAAAGCCACAAUAAAUCGGUUUAAGCUUUCAAGCAUGGAAUGCCUCACAUUUCUCCCAAAUAAAAGUCGCCAUUGCCGUGGACUGACCUUAAAACUGUAACCGAACUCAAAAUCAAAACCAAAGGAGCAAUUUGGCCAAUUGAGCCCAUGGACCUCCUCCAGUGUGCAAGAAUGGGACCUCAAUUGACAACCUAGGCCAGAGCCAGCCUGGUGAGUAUACCAGGAUUGGAUUAGAAAGGCCAACUCUAAUCACCGGUGCUUUGCUCGCCAACCGUUGUCCUUCACAAUGCCGAAACCUUUCAGGACCGGAGAUGGUCGUCAGGGUGACCCACGUACCUGCUGUGGUUUUUGGAAACCCAGACAUUUUGCAUCGGGGACUACGCCCCCUCUCCCUCGACCCCUGAAGAUUAUCUCGAGUUCAUAUCACCAAUUCAAAUGGCUGGAUAAUCAGCAUCGGAUCAGACAGCAUUCGCGCCUCGCGUUUCCUCACCGCACCAUCUCAAAUGGGUUCCUCGUCAAUCACAAUGAAACGGUCUUUUAUUGUGUCUUUAUUCUUCACAGUCAUUAUCUCUCUUCAUAUUCCCCUUUCCAAGAAAAUACGCAAUUUGCUAACAUAAAGAACGUGCAUGUACGAGUACGUGUUUAUCUGCAUCCUCUUUUCCUCUUUCACCGUAUUAAUGAAACACUAUCGCAACCUGGACGCUGGAUUCUUUCUCGCUUUGUCUGCCUGCUUUGAUGAGAACGUUUGUACAAGACAUUUGAUAUCAGCACUUUUAAAUGGAUUUUGUGUUGCAGGAAAAAAACCCACAAAAGAUAGGAGCAACACAGAAUUGUAAUAGUGUGAAUGGCUGAGUUAGAGAAAAAUUAUAAAGAAUUUCCUUCAACCGCUAUUAUAAGAGCACACCGAGCACCUGUGGUAGAUUCUGCUCAACUGUGCUCACGCACAGUAUGCAGCACAUACAAAAAGUAUGCAAAUAUGUUAAUGAAUAUAACAGCUUUCACAUGCACUUUCAAAGAAUUUUGGGGGUUCAAAGGAGCUAAUUUUUGUUAUAAACGCUUCACAUCAGUUACAAAAAAUAUGAAUAUAAAAACACCGUAAGCCACUUAUACAUUGAAAAAUAAACCACUCUGCAAGAAGUACUAAACACUGGUCUAAAAUAUUUUUAUUUAUUAUAAUUCUUUUUUAUUUAUUAUAUUUAGUGCUGUUUGUUUUUAAUAUUUAAAUAAUUUGA